rnacentral:rRNA from 1 species
AUUGAACGCUGGCGGCAUGCCUUACACAUGCAAGUCGAACGGCAGCACGGGUGCUUGCACCUGGUGGCGAGUGGCGAACGGGUGAGUAAUACAUCGGAACAUGUCCUGUAGUGGGGGAUAGCCCGGCGAAAGCCGGAUUAAUACCGCAUACGAUCUACGGAUGAAAGCGGGGGCCCUUCGGGCCUCGCGCUAUAGGGUUGGCCGAUGGCGGAUUAGCUAGUUGGUGGGGUAAAGGCCUACCAAGGCGACGAUCAGUAGCUGGUCUGAGAGGACGACCAGCCACACUGGGACUGAGACACGGCCCAGACUCCUACGGGAGGCAGCAGUGGGGAAUUUUGGACAAUGGGCGAAAGCCUGAUCCAGCAAUGCCGCGUGUGUGAAGAAGGCCUUCGGGUUGUAAAGCACUUUUGUCCGGAAAGAAAUCCUUGGCCCUAAUACGGUCGGGGGAUGACGGUACCGGAAGAAUAAGCACCGGCUAACUACGUG